GCAAAGUGACACGUUUUAGGACACAAGACAGGACAAGUUGCGUUGCCUGUCCGGUGUGAACGCACCUUAAGAGAUUUAUUUGUCUUUGAUAUCCAUUUCAGAAUUUUACACAAUGACGUGCAGAGGAACUACAACCUCCUGGGUGGAGAACGCCAGGGGAAAAAAAGCUUAAAGAAAACUGCUUUCUUCACAGUUGUUCUUGGUAAAUGAAUUAUAUCCCUGCAAGUUAUUACUUAUUCUUGGUCAUGUUACUGACUCAUUUAAAGCCUGAAGCUGUAAAAAAGUGAAGAAUCCUUCCGGACAAUACUAGAUAAUUUCUACACUUACUAUGAUUCAAGUUUCUUUUGUUUUUUUAUCUUUUUGCAGAGUCUGUUCGCACUAACUUCCCGACGGCAACGGAGGAACUGGUCGCAGCAUCGUUUGGGGACCAUUUGAAACAGGCACCAGCUCGAUGUGGUGGGAGGGGCACCACCAGAACACCAC
rnacentral:lncRNA from 1 species